AAUGGGCGCAAGCCUGACCCAGCCAUGCCGCGUGCAGGAAGAAUGCCUAUGGGUUGUAAACUGCUUUUAUUUAGGAAUAACCCCUUUACGUGUAGAGGGCUGAAUGUACUAAACGAAUAAGCACCGGCUAACUCCGUGCCAGCAGCCGCGGUAAUACGGAGGGUGCAAGCGUUAUCCGGAAUCAUUGGGUUUAAAGGGUCCGCAGGCGGAUGUAUAAGUCAGUGGUGAAAUCCUGCAGCUUAACUGCAGAACUGCCAUUGAUACUGUACAUCUUGAAUUCGGUCGAAGUGGGCGGAAUGUGUAGUGUAGCGGUGAAAUGCAUAGAUAUUACACAGAACACCGAUAGCGAAGGCAGCUCACUAGGCCUGGAUUGACGCUCAGGGACGAAAGCGUGGGGAUCAAACAGGAUU
rnacentral:rRNA from 1 species